rnacentral:rRNA from 1 species
AGCGAACGCUGGCGGCAGGCUUAACACAUGCAAGUCGAACGGUCCUUCGGGAUAGUGGCGGACGGGUGAGUAACACGUGGGAACGUACCCUUAGGUUCGGAACAACACAGGGAAACUUGUGCUAAUACCGGAUAAGCCCUUCGGGGGAAAGAUUUAUCGCCUUUGGAGCGGCCCGCGUCUGAUUAGCUUGUUGGUGAGGUAAUGGCUCACCAAGGCUACGAUCAGUAGCUGGUCUGAGAGGAUGGCCAGCCACACUGGGACUGAGACACGGCCCAGACUCCUACGGGAGGCAGCAGUGGGGAAUCUUGCGCAAUGGGCGAAAGCCUGACGCAGCCAUGCCGCGUNGAUGAUGAAGGUCUUAGGAUUGUAAAAUCCUUUCACCGGGGACGAUAAUGACGGU